rnacentral:lncRNA from 1 species
AAUUGCGAGGUUCGAGUGUUCGAGCGGUGUUCUGAGUUUUUUCAGAUUUUCUGGUGGGUCGUUGACUGUGUUCCGACCUAUGGCUCGUAUUCCGAGAAUUGCGGUUUAAAGCCUUGCACCAAAACCCGAAAAUAUGGAUUUUGGCUAGCUCUCGGGUAGCUUUCUGGGGGUCUUGUACCGGUACAAGGUUGGUGUCUGUACCAGUACAGGGUUGAUGGUUGUACCGGUACAGACACCGGCUUGUACCGG